UAGGGAAUCUUCCACAAUGGACGCAAGUCUGAUGGAGCAACGCCGCGUGAGUGAAGAAGAUCUUCGGAUCGUAAAACUCUGUUGUUAGAGAAGAACACGAGUGAGAGUAACUGUUCAUUCGAUGACGGUAUCUAACCAGCAAGUCACGGCUAACUACGUACCAG
rnacentral:rRNA from 1 species